GACAAAAUCAGAGGAGAAAGAAAUGUUGUCUUCCUGUAAGGGCAUUUUCCAGAAGGUCGACGACCUGUUUCAAUGUACACCUCAUCAACUGGAAUUCAGUCCCAUGGCAGUCGUCAGCUGGAAGGGAAAUAACCAAGGCCAAGCUCCAAGAAAAGAAUGAUUUUUAUGAAACUAUGGGAUUAUUCAACAAAGUCGUAUUGAAUAUAUGCUUAUAUCUUUCUCCUAUCAACAAGAAGAGAACCUAAGUGCCAUUUUUUCUCAAGAUUUCGGAGUCAUUUUCUCCAACACUUGAAUUGCCUCUUCAAAGCUAAAAGACUGGGCAGUUCUGAAUGAAUAACCCAGAAGUGAGACAACCAGAAGCUGUAUAAAUCAAGUGGGAUUUCUAACA